GAUGAAGAACGUAGCGAAAUGCGAUACUUGGUGUGAAUUGCAGAAUCCCGUGAACCAUCGAGUCUUUGAACGCAAGUUGCGCCCGAAGCCAUUAGGCCGAGGGCACGCCUGCCUGGGUGUCGCACAUCGUUGCCCCAAUGCCUCAGCCCUGUUGCAAGGCAUGGCAAAGGGGCGAAUGUUGGCUUCCCGCGAGCGAUGCCCUCACGGUUGGCUGAAAAUCGAGUCCGUGGUGGAGUGUGCCGCGAUGGAUGGUGGUUGAGUGAUGAUGCUCGGGACCAAUCAUGGGUAACUCCACCAGAAUUGGGCUCGGUGACCCACAUGCGUCCCUUGGAUGCUCCCUAAGGAGACCUCAGGUCAGGCGGGGCUACCCGCUGAGUUUAAGCAUAUCAAUAAGCGGAGGA
rnacentral:misc_RNA from 1 species